UCGAAGGUGUUCAUAAAAGUAGGGUGUCGUCUGUAUUGUGUUUUCUAAAAAAUAAAAAUCCUCGAGCAUAUAUUUUUUUUAACUUUUUUACUUAUACUUUCAGUUUUUUUCGGUUCAUGAAAUUCGUUCCAAGUCUUCGUCGGUUUGAUGCGUACCAGAGUUGUACAUCUUCCUUGAGAAAAUAGCCGAUAAGAACAAGUCCAGUUGCUGCAGCUAGCUUUACCGCCGCGUAAGAUGCAUAGGUUCGAAGAAAUCUUGAAUCACGAGGUUAACAUACGUAGACUACAUGCAUGGCUUGACUACAUGCAUGGCUUCUGCCUAUUCAGACAUGUGAGAAUGAGACUCGCAUAUAUCGUUACGUGAGAUGUGACAUAGAGACGCCUGCGCGUGGAACGUCUGACAAAUAGUUCUUGCUUUAAUCUCUAGUCUGUACGUUUGACGUACGUACACGACUCGUGCAGUUAAUUC
rnacentral:lncRNA from 1 species